GAGAAAUUGAUGAAUAAGAAGAGUAGCACCGGUGUGCGAUUGUAGAGAGUCAGUGGAUGGUGGGAACUGAUACGCAGCGGGUGUGAAUGGGCUUAGGAGAGUCACCGAUGACGGCCGUUUUCGGUCUGUUGGAGGUGGACGUGGAUCCCGCGUUACGGGAUGCAUGCACGCUUUUUCAGUAGUGCAUUCGAGAGGGAGCGAAGGAGCUCCAAUAUGAGGUGGCAACGCGGUGAAAUCCGUCCUCUGC
rnacentral:ncRNA from 1 species